rnacentral:rRNA from 1 species
GAUGAACGCUGGCGGCGUGCCUAAUACAUGCAAGUCGAGCGAACGGACGAGAAGCUUGCUUCUCUGAUGUUAGCGGCGGACGGGUGAGUAACACGUGGAUAACCUACCUAUAAGACUGGGAUAACUUCGGGAAACCGUAGCUAAUACCGGAUAAUAUUUUGAACCGCAUGGUUCAAAAGUGAAAGACGGUCUUGCUGUCACUUAUAGAUGGAUCCGCGCUGCAUUAGCUAGUUGGUAAGGUAACGGCUUACCAAGGCAACGAUGCAUAGCCGACCUGAGAGGGUGAUCGGCCACACUGGAACUGAGACACGGUCCAGACUCCUACGGGAGGCAGCAGUAGGGAAUCUUCCGCAAUGGGCGAAAGCCUGACGGAGCAACGCCGCGUGAGUGAUGAAGGUCUUCGGAUCGUAAAACUCUGUUAUUAGGGAAGAACAUAUGUGUAAGUAACUGUGCACAUCUUGACGGUACCUAAUCAGAAAGCCACCGCUAACUACGUG